rnacentral:rRNA from 1 species
UACGUAGGGUGCGAGCGUUGUCCGGAAUUACUGGGCGUAAAGAGCUCGUAGGUGGCUUGUCGCGUUGUUCGUGAAAACUCACAACUCAAUUGUGGGCGUGCGGGCGAUACGGGCAGACUGGAGUACUGCAGGGGAGACUGGAAUUCCUGGUGUAGCGGUGGAAUGCGCAGAUAUCAGGAGGAACACCGGUGGCGAAGGCGGCGACCUGGGUCGAGACUGACGCUGAGGCGCGAAAGCGUGGGGAGCAAACAGG